UGGGGAAUCUUGGACAAUGGGGGCAACCCUGAUCCAGCCAUGCCGCGUGAGUGAUGAAGGCCUUAGGGUCGUAAAGCUCUUUCGCCUGUGAAGAUAAUGACGGUAGCAGGUAAAGAAACCCCGGCUAACUCCGUGCCAGCAGCCGCGGUAAUACGGAGGGGGUUAGCGUUGUUCGGAAUUACUGGGCGUAAAGCGCACGUAGGCGGACCAGAAAGUUGGGGGUGAAAUCCGGGGGCUCAACCCCGGAACUGCCUCCAAAACUAUUGGUCUAGAGUUCGAGAGAGGUGAGUGGAAUUCCAAGUGUAGAGGUGAAAUUCGUAGAUAUUUGGAGGAACACCAGUGGCGAAGGCGGCUCACUGGCUCGAUACUGACGCUGAGGUGCGAAAGUGUGGGGAGCAAACAGGAUUAGAUACCCUGGUAGUCCACACCGUAAAACGAUGAAUGCCAGUCGUCGGGUAGCAUGCUAUUCGGUGACACACCUAACGGAUUAAGCAUUCCGCC
rnacentral:rRNA from 1 species